CAGUCGCCGCGGUAAUACGUAGGGUGCGAGCGUUAAUCGGAAUUACUGGGCGUAAAGCGUGCGCAGGCGGUUCGUUAAGACAGAUGUGAAAUCCCCGGGCUUAACCUGGGAACUGCAUUUGUGACUGGCGAGCUAGAGUAUGGCAGAGGGGGGUAGAAUUCCACGUGUAGCAGUGAAAUGCGUAGAGAUGUGGAGGAAUACCGAUGGCGAAGGCAGCCCCCUGGGCCAAUAACUGACGCUGAUGCACGAAAGCUAGGGGAGCAAACAGGAUUAGAUACCCCGGUAGUCCCUGUCUCUUAUA
rnacentral:rRNA from 1 species